rnacentral:rRNA from 1 species
AUUGAACGCUGGCAGCAGGCCUAACACAUGCAAGUCGAGCGGUAGCACAGAGAGCUUGCUCUCGGGUGACGAGCGGCGGACGGGUGAGUAAUGUCUGGGAAACUGCCUGAUGGGAGGGGGGAUAACUACUGGAAACGGUAGCUAAUACCGCAUAACGUCGCAAGACCAAAGAGGGGGACCUUCGGGCCUCUUGCCAUCAG